UUUCCGUAGGUGAACCUGCGGAGGGAUCAUUAUCGUACAAAAUGUUAAGAACAUACUGUGGCUGUCACUGCCUCACAAGUCGUGCACGCCCGAGUGUGUCCGCUUGCAUAAUACUCCAUCGCAGCCAUUGUGCAUCACCGCGUUGGCACCCUGCGGGAUCGUCUCGGAGUAGAACUCGAGACAUGACAAAAACCCCCCUUUUAAAAGUGUAGAAUGACCACAUUUAUGCAAUCAAUACAACUUUCAACAACGGAUCUCUUGGCUCUCGCAUCGAGGAAA
rnacentral:misc_RNA from 1 species